rnacentral:lncRNA from 1 species
GCUGAGUUCAAUGACUUCUUUCUCAAUCCAGAGACUGAAGGGGAAAGGAGGCCUUGGCAGGAACUAAAUCAGAUUACGGCUCUUGCUAUAAUCCUUUAGGUAUAGUACUUUGAAAUACUUCCAAAUUUGGGCUCCCUUAUCAGUAAGUGAAUCUCACUUUUAUGUCUACAUCUAAUCCACCAUUAUAUUUUAGUCGUCAGGCUGAAGCUGCAAACAAGGAAGACAGGAUCUCAAGGGAGUACAAGAGAAGCCUGUCCUUCCUGAUAUUGGAAGAUAACAGAGAGGAGGAAGACAUGCAGAUCAGCUUAUCAGUGCUCAAUAAAUGUUUGUUGGAGGGAGGAAGGCACAAUUUGAAGAUGGAAUUGCUUCUUAUCACUGGAAAACUUGGUAUAUCUGAAGAAUUGAUCUGAGAAGGAAAGCACCCUCACUUCAAGUCAAGUUCAUUCCACAAUCUCCUAUUUCAGAUGCGGAGGCUGGAGGAUGUGGCAUGUUGUGUUGGAGCUGAGAAGAGGCAGUGCUCAUCAAUCAGCAGUUUCCCGUGGGCUAAUCCUCACCCCAGUUAGCUGAUUCGGCCCUCUGGAUUCCGACCACUGGAUUCCAAUCACACAGCUGCUCUAUUCAGCCUCAUCAUCUCCCUAUUCUUACAGAUUACUGCCUCAUGGCCACCAACACAAAAAGAAUGAGAAAGGGGAUCAAAAUCAUCAAAAUCAUGUGUCCUGAAAGACAUACUCAACGUGGCCAGAAUUUUUCAUCAAACUGACAUGGUAUAAAAGACUAUUUCUACUAAAUACUUGGCAAUCGAAUGUAUAAGAUUAUAAGAAAUCAGAAGUCUGGUGUUGCUGUUGUUGUGGUGGUGGUUUUUGCUGUUUGCUUUGGUUUCCAUUCAACCUCACCUUUUUAUUUUAAGGCCAUUUCUCUAACUCUCAAUAAAUCCAUUUUAAACAUCA